GAAGCGGCAACAGCUCAAAUUUGAAAUCUGGCGUCUUCGGCGUCCGAGUUGUAAUUUGUAGAGGAUGCUUUUGGGCAGCCACCGGUCUAAGUUCCUUGGAACAGGACGUCAUAGAGGGUGAGAAUCCCGUAUGCGACCGGAAGGGCACCCUUCACAUAGCUCCUUCGACGAGUCGAGUUGUUUGGGAAUGCAGCUCUAAAUGGGAGGUAAAUUUCUUCUAAAGCUAAAUACCGGCCAGAGACCGAUAGCGCACAAGUAGAGUGAUCGAAAGAUGAAAAGCACUUUGGAAAGAGAGUUAAAAAGCACGUGAAAUUGUUGAAAGGGAAGCGCUUGCAACCAGACUUGUCUGCGGUGUUUCCGCCGGUCUUUCUGACCGGUCUACUCACCGUUUGCAGGCCAGCAUCGUUUGGGGCCGCCGGAUAAAAGCUUAGGGAAUGUGGCUCUUCGGAGUGUUAUAGCCCUAGGUGUAAUACGGCGAGCCUCGAGCGAGGUCCGCGCUUCGGCUAGGAUGCUGGCGUAAUGGUUGUAAGCGGCCCGUCUUGAAACACGGACCAAGGAGUCUAACAUCUAUGCGAGUGUUCGGGUGUAAAACCCCUACGCGUAAUGAAAGUGAACGGAGGUGGGAACUUUUUGUGCACCAUCGACCGAUCCUGAUGUCUUCGGAUGGAUUUGAGUAAGAGCAUAGCUGUUGGGACCCGAAAGAUGGUGAACUAUGCCUGAAUAGGGUG
rnacentral:rRNA from 1 species